CCUCGGGGGGCUGCAGUGGGGAAUAUUGGACAAUGGGCGAAAGCCUGAUCCAGCCAUGCCGCGUGUGUGAAGAAGGCCUUCGGGUUGUAAAGCACUUUCAGUGGGGAAGAAAGCCUUGGGGCUAAUACCCUCGAGGAAGGACAUCACCCACAGAAGAAGCACCGGCUAACUCCGUGCCAGCAGCCGCGGUAAUACGGAGGGUGCGAGCGUUAAUCGGAAUUACUGGGCGUAAAGCGCGCGUAGGCGGUCUGAUAAGCCGGUUGUGAAAGCCCCGGGCUCAACCUGGGAACGGCAUCCGGAACUGUCAGGCUAGAGUGCAGGAGAGGAAGGUAGAAUUCCCGGUGUAGCGGUGAAAUGCGUAGAGAUCGGGAGGAAUACCAGUGGCGAAGGCGGCCUUCUGGAGUGACACUGACGCUGAGGUGCGAAAGCGUGGGUAGCAAACAGGAUUAGAUACCCUAGUAGUC
rnacentral:rRNA from 1 species